rnacentral:rRNA from 1 species
UAAGAGGGCCUAAAUAUCCUAAAGGCAUCAGAUCCCGAUCUCUGAAGCUAAGAAGAAUCAGCCCUGGUUAGUAUUUGGAUGGGAGACCACCAAUGAAUACCAGAUGCUAUAGGCU